GACGGAAGGUGCAAGCGUUGCUCGGAAUCACUGGGCGUAAAGGGUGCGUAGGCGGCUUCUUAAGUCUGGUGUGAAAAGCCCAGGGCUCAGCUCUGGAAAGUGCACUAGAAAACUGGGGAAGCUUUGAGUACCGGAGGGGGAGAGUGGAAUUCCUGGUGUAGCGGUGAAAAUGCGUAGAUAUCGGGAGGAACACCAGUGGCGAAGGCGGCUCACUGGACUGGUAUUGACGCUGAGGUGCGAAAAGCGUGGGGGAGCAAACAGGG
rnacentral:rRNA from 1 species